rnacentral:tRNA from 1 species
AGAAGACACCCGUGCAAAUCGGGUCGCACUGA